ensembl:lncRNA
UCACAUUGGCAAGCCUCCAGUCUUCUGGGACCUCACCUGUCAUCAAGGAGCGCUGAUAGAUGAUGGAAAGCGGCUCGGCUAUCACCUCUGCCAGUUCCCUCAGCACUCUCGGGUGAAUCUCAUCCGGUCCCAUGGACUUGUGGCAGUCCAGUUGGAGUAGCAGGUCUCUUCAGUUUGGUGUGUUGAUUUCUGAUUUCCACCUGUGAAAUCCCCUGGGAUGUAACCAUUGUUUUAAGUGAGCUUUGCUUCAGUUUUAACAACUGGAAGCACAGCAAAUGCUUCAAAGCACACUGCAAUUCAUGAAGCUUAGACAGUGACAACAUGUUUUUAUUUCCCUUUGUAAAGAGGAUUUUCCCUGGAUGCUUCCCUAUCUAUCCCCAGAUAGCUGACCAGCAAGAAGAUCCUAUCUGUGUUAUGCCUGGAAUCAGCUCUAACACCUACAUUAUAAGACCAUCACCUUAACAACAAAUGAAUUCCUAAAGGAUGGAGGGAGGAGAGGGAGAUGUGACUACAGGCCAGCCUUGCUCAGACUCACAAACUCCUUUUUCGGGAGGACAAAUUGACCAAUAGAUAACACAGGUGUGUCUGUCCAGCAGGGAUAAAAAACCUGUUCACAAGGUCAUUUAAGACUUAGCAUAGACCAUCCAAGUAAAGUUCCUCUCCUGCAAAUCUGGGAUAAGGAAAUAUUAUGGCAGUCCUGGCAGAUGAAUUAUAUCAGUCCAUUUAAACCAUCAGGUAGAUAAUUACAACUUCACUCCUACCACAACGUGUAUCUGGUCUCACCAUGGCCACUGACUUUACAGCAGCCACUGGGGAGAACACAGUAAGAGGUCUCAAGACGGUUCAGCAUACUUCACCUUGGAGAGGAAAUUUAAAGCAUCAAUGGCUCACACUUUACAGCUACAAGGGGCUUCCUCUUAAGCCAAGGAGGAAGGGAUUCAGUGGGUAUUCCACGCUCACCAUUAUCCUCAACCUAACAGCAUCAUGAAUGCACUGAUGUUAAACACUGAUAGUUAAACAUUUUGCAAAAACUCAUGAAUCUGGGUGGUAUUAGCAGUUGUAUAGCAACAUCUGGGAUUAUUUUUGUUUCUAAUGAUAGGCCUUGCAAUCAUUAAAUGUAUGAUGUCUUGUGUUCUCUCUUCCUUUUCUCCCAGUAGUUACAAUCUGCAGAUCACCACUGUCGAAGACCUCAGAGUGAGCCACAGCAUGGUGUAAGGGAUGACCCCCAGGUGCCUCUGAGCCCAGACAAAACCCAAGGGACAAUUAAGUACUGCCCUUAAUUUAAUUGAUGUCUCGGCCACUCCUGGAACAGUCCAGAACAAUGCAUGAUCAAGUCAUGGAGAGGGACUUGGUGUGAAGGUGGAUGGGGCUGUGAGCAACCUGAUCUAGUGGGAGGUGUCCCUGCAUGCAGCAUGGGGUUGGAACUAGAUGAUCUCAAAGGCCCCUUCCGAAACAAUCCAUCUAACCAAACCUGCCAUUGUAACAUCAAGAGGUAAGCCCUUCUAAACCGGUUUCAAUGAGGCAUAAAGAGGCCUACCUCAGGAAUUAGAGUAAAAGAUUUUAUAUCAAUAUAGUUUCAAAAAAAUUUAGGAAUCAUUACAGAGAAGUUAGCUGAUUUUUCUUCAUGGGCAGCUGUAAAUAGAAAUACUUUCUUCCUUACAGUGACCUCACAAGCUCAGAAAUGCAUGGAUAAGUACUUGUCUAUAAAUAAGAGCCCUGAUAAACCUGAUAGGAAAUUAAGCCAGCAAUGAAAAUACAGCUCAUUAGAUGUCUUCCUGUUCCAGUAUCUUCAUAACUUUUCCUGGUUGGUGUGCCACUGAUGGCCAAAUUCUGCUCACUUUCUGACCAUGUGAAUUCUACAGAUAGGCCAAUUCCAACAGUCGGAGUAAUUCAAUGAAACUUUAGUAUUUGCCUGCUUUAUUCCAGCAAAUUUCAACACGUAGAACAAAUGUAGAUAUACUUUCCAACUCCUUCAGGGAAAAAAAAAAAAGACAGCUAUGAUUAAUUAAAGCAAAAUUGUAUUUGGUAGGAUGGUCACAUUCAGUGCAAUUAAAAAUAAAUAUUCUGGUUCAAAAGAAGAGUCAUGCUAUUCCUGGUCUCCCAGUCUUGACAGCAAAUAGAGGCUGUCAGAUUAAUAAUAGCAUUUUAAAACAGUUGUAAGAAAUGAGCCAUCUGAUUCAAGAAUCCUGUUCCUGUUAACUUAUUUAGCUAUUGAAAACUUAAUUUUCCCAUCUGUGAGAUGACAAAAUCCAAUAAAAACACCAUUAAUAUUUAUGUUCUAAAUAGAAAAAGCUUUCAAAGCAUGUUCAUAAAGUGGAAAAUAAAAGCAGAA